GAACUCUUUUUGGUCGGCCUUAACGGAGUAUUUGUACCAUUUAUGAACAAGUUGGAUGUUAAAUUGUCCUGUACUGUUACUACGCUCUGUUUCGCACACGUUUGAGACUGUAUUCUGUGAUGGAGCGGGUGUUUAAUCAGGAGCUAGCAGUGCUAGCGAGGCCGCCGCCAUUUUAGCAGAGAGACCGCGAACCUCUUCCCGCGUGAAAACAGCGGAGAGCCCAGCGGAGGACGCGGGUUGGUGAGAUGGUGCCGAGGACGUUAUCUCUCAAGGAGGUAUGUGUGGACUCAGCUGCUAAAUGAGGGAUUCCUGCUCGUGAUCUUCUUUCUCAUGUCCCGACCUUUGCCAGUUUUUUGGAAUAAACCUUUUAUCUGUUUGACCUGCUGCGUCGGUGUUGUGCAUUUGUGUCUUCCCUUUCUGUGCCUCAGUUCAUCCCCGGGUGUGUAUCAACAAAUUCCUCUUCUGUUAGCGUGGAGACCUCAUAUUGUUUUUCUCCUUAUUGUUUUUCAGAAGAUAAUUAAUAACAGCAGAUCUAACAGAAAGGUAUCUGCAACCUCCUCAUGAACACAUUACAUUGACUAUAUUUAGACUGCUGUAAGGUUAUCCAGUAAGAUAGCCAACAUUUACAAAUAACAGAUAAAAUACACAACUUAUUUACUGAUGAAACCCACAUGGUAACUAAACCAAUACAUGUGAUUUGAAUGUAGUACCUUAGCCCCACCUCAUGGUGGCGCAUCAGCCCCGUACUCCGUGUCAUGACCGUGAACGCGCCGAGCCCCAUUUUACUCAGAGCCGAGUAACUGACCAGAACACCUGCAUAUAAACGAGCUGACAAACCGGGAAAUGUAAUAUGAUGAAAACAGGUAAAUUAAUGAUUAAUCCUCGAGCGGCAUCUUGAUAAAUCUUCAGUUUUUCUUCUGGGAAAAUCGUGUGAGUGUGAGAGAGAGAUUGGAGCCGGUUUCACUGUGUUAAUCCCCUGCAAGAACUCUGGUAAGAAAAAUGCGACAUGCGGCUAGGUCUCGAGGUUAGCUGUUGAUAUUAGCAAGUUAUGAGAAGAAUUCUUUAAUUUAAGUAUGUUCAUAAAACCAGUCAAAGUCACUGAUAUGUUUCCUAAUGUUUUAAACCCACUGUGGUACCUGUCAUGUCAUUGUUAACUUUGGAAAAUAGCUUUAUGAAGAUCGCUAGAGAGCUAACGUGAAGCUAAUGCUAAUCACGGAUAGCGCUGCUACGCUAAGUCAGAUAUUACUUGUAACAGAUAUUUUAAUGGUGUACUUGGCUAAACUUAAUUGCUGCUACUGUAGCAAACGAGAGAGAACGAGAUUACAUAUGCUUAUUUGUGUUGAUAUGAUGCCAGUUGCAUGGUCAGGCUCCAUCAUGUGAUCUGAUCCAGCCUUACACCCCCUCUCGGGCUCUGAGGUCCGUGGUUUAGAAUCUGCUGAUGGUUCCGCGCACUUGUUUUCAGACCAGAGGAGACCGAUCCUUCCAGGCUGUUGCCCCCAGACUUAAUUAAUUCUGUUGACUCCUUUAAAAGCCGACUCAAAACUUGUUUAUUUGCUCAGGCAUUUGUCUAAUUGUUUUUGGGGCUACUAUGACUGUUUAAUGUUAUUGUCUUGGCCUUUUAAUUUGUAUGUACAUUUUUAUUUUUGUCUAUGUGAAUCACUUCGUGAAUCUUUUGUCUGUGAAAAGUGCUAUUCAAAUAAAGUUUACUUACUUACUUACUUUCCGUCAGUUUGACAGAUUGGUCACGCCUUCAGCCGCCCGCUCGCCCCCCUGCAAUAUGACACUCCAAGUGUGGGAUAGCAUAUAUGCCCCCUCAUCCCAGUUGAUGGUCCUCAGGCCUCGCUUCCGGAUUUCCAUUGCCUCCCUGAUCCAGCGCUGAUGUAUAUUUUCUUCGGUGCGGAUGACUCUGGCAUUUUCCCACUCCAUGAUGUGGUUCUCUCGUCUGCAGUGGUCUGUGAUAGCUGAUUUGUAAUUUUCUUGUUGUGCCUUUUCUUUUAUUGUUCUUGUUUGUUUUGUUGCUGUCUCCUUCUCACACUCUUUCUUGUUCAUUUUUUCAUAUUGUGAAACUCCUCCCUGUCCCUCCGAUGUAUGUUUUGUUGCAUGAUUGGCAUGGGAUCUCAGUAUCUUCCGGAGGGUUGUGUGUGGUUUUGACAGGUGUGUUGAUGUUGUGUUUCUUCAUAGGGAACCGAAGUCAUGCUAACUUCCAGGUUAGCAUACGGUCCUAUGGAGCCCAUCAAAAUGAAUGGACAGAUAUAUAUAACUACUGGUCCGCUUUGGUAUAGGGAACCGAAGCCCCUACACAUUUCACAUAUAAUGUUUAUCAUGUUUAAAUUUACAUUUUAACCUCGAAAAAGCCGUGAUUUUAGACAUGUUGCUAUAACUACAGUUUAAUUUAGAGUGAGACCACGUAAUGAACUACACCGCUCGUCGCACUAUUUUUGCGUCACUGUCUAAGCUUUGACAGACGACGAUGGCGGUGACUUUGGCAAGUUUCACGUCCUUCUUCCAGGAUGAAGGAAAGAGUAUUAAACGUGGUGAAAACCACUACAAGUCGGGUCAUGUUGAGAGGUGUCAUGGUGACAUUCUGGCACAAAACACACAGGCAUUUUGGCAAUGAUAACGAGUUGACAGGAGUUGUCAGCUAGCUAGAAGUAGAAAUACUGACGUGACGUCAUUUACGCGACUUCUUGAGGUCUGUAGUCUCUCCAUUUACGUGUUUUCAAAGACAAAUAGAUCAACAAUUACACAACAAACAUAGCCUUUAUUUACCUUAAUGGUUAUCAUUUAAGUUAAAAUACAACAUAUUUGUGACUCAGGGUGUAAAACAAAGCGGACCAGAAAAUACCAUAGACCUGUCCAUUCACUCCUAUUAUCCCAAUAGGACCUAUAGCGCUAACGCGGAAGUGGGCGUGGCUUCGGUUCCCUAUUGCCCUUUGGAUUCGUUCGGUUACGCCCCUCAGGUAUGGUAAAACCACCACUCCCUUGUGUUCUUGUUUGCUGUGUUGCUUUUUGGCUUUCUUGUGUGUUUUAUUAUUGUUGUUUUUGGGUUGUUGUGAGCCCUUUGUUAUCGCCCACUGUGGGUAUUGGCAGGUUUUGAGUUCUUGUUGAAUGUGUCUUUCCUCCUGCGCUCUGUCCUCCGGGUCCCUGAUUAUGGCCGCGCGUUCACGCAGUGUUCUAACUACCGCCGUGUAGGGACACCAGUGACUCCACCUCGAGUCAUCUAGCCUUUCUUAUAUAUGUCUAAGUAUAAGUUUAAAAAGUACUUAAAGCCAUAGUGUUUUAUAGUUCUCUGUCAUAUAAUGAUUGUAAUUUGUUAUACAGAAAUAAUUUGCAAUAGCACAAUGAUCUAUUUAACUUUCGUACUGUGCAAACCUUAAUUUGUAAUUAUAGGUACUGAUAAUUAUUUAUAAGGUAUUACAGAGUCAAGGCAUCCCCAAACACAUACUGUUUAAAGGCAUGAACUCGUUCAGCGCUGCACUGUUUCUCUUCUUAAACUCCUUUACAUCACCACGCACAGAAAGAACGCAUCGCUUAUUAUGAAACAUAAUAUUCAGAGGUUUUUUUUUUUAGAUGACCGUGUUAUUUUUCCCUGUAAAUACUGUAAAAACAUCAGCUGUUCAGAGGAAAUUAAAGCCAAACAUUGCUUGAUAAGACGCCUGUUUUGGUUCCUCAGAGGGGUGAGCGGUUUCCUUUUGAGCUGAACUUUAAUUAGACGACUGAAGCAGCCGCAGAAAUGAGGAAUUUCCUGUGUUUAUGGCCUGAAAAUAGCCGGUUUAGAGGACAGAGAGGUGAGAAAAGCACUUAGACUGGUAGCCAUAAUAAAGAGAUGUUCCUGAACCUUCCACUAGAUGGCAGCACAGUUAUCCAAACAUCACAGUGAGCUCUCCUUUUUUCUGAUUUUCAGCUCAUGGGGGCUGACCUAUUACAGGCUGAAUCAAUUCAAAUUAUAGAGACAGAUGACAGGGAGCAAUCAAAAGAGAGAAAUGAGAGGUCUAUUUCAAUGGAAGAUCUGCAUUUUACUCACUUUUCAUACAAACUGACAUGCAGAUUUACCAAAGAGGAGGUUAUUUAUUUAGUUUACAGCCAACAAAGAGGAAAAGUACGGUUCCUGCAGGCGGUUUUGCCACUUUAAUCCACUUUUAUUAGAAACAGACUGAUGAUGAAGAACACAAAAGUGUCUAAAAAGACAAGAAUUGACAGUAAAUGAGAGAUCCACAUUACCUCUCCACGAGCUUUUAAUGUCAAACAUAAGAGGUAUUGCAUUUCAUUACCACACUGGAGUAUUUCCUCAUUAUAAUAAAUAUUGAUCACUGUGUUGUCUUAAUGUAAAGGUCAAUUUCCCAUCUUGGCGUUCUUGGUAGGAGGGUUUGCCUGCAGCAGUUUUCUGUUUUACAGCUUCUCUGCUAUUGAUGCAAACCUUAAAGAGAUACUAAUCCUGUUUUUAAAACGUGGAGUUUGCGACUGUGGAAGUAGUUGCCUCAUGAAGCGAUUUUUUUGGUCAGGCUUUUAUUUGGAUAUUUUUUUGUCUCACAGUGAGGUAACUUUUUUUCUUGCGUUUUCUCUCGGCUCAGAUCAGUUUUCAGAGUUUAAUUCCUGUUUUAUUUUGUAGGAGUUGAUUCCAUGUGUUUGUUGUCUGGUUUUACUUCCCUAGUUUUCCCUCCUUUGUUAGUCAUCUCACUUGUGUCUCGUCUGCCUCACCUGUUGCACGUUUCCCAGUGUGUGGCCGUUUUUGAAUUCUCCUACUAUCCUAGCAGUACGUACUGAUUUGCCCAAAAUUUAGUAUGCAGUAUGCAGUAGGCGAAGAAAUGCAAAAUUUGCAGUAUGCCAAAAAUACCCGGAUGACUGUCGUCAUUGUCGUUUUCUCCUGCUUCAUCCAGGUCUAGAUCACGGGGGCAGCAGCUUCAGGAGGGAAGCCCAGAUAGUCCUCACCCCAGCCACUUCCACCAGCUCCUCCGGGGGGAUUCCCAGGUGCCCCGAGGCCAGGCAAGAGAUAUAAUCCCUCCACCCGGUCCUGGGCCAGCCAUGAGGUCUCCUCUCGGUGGGACAUGUCCGGGAGGUGUCCGGAAGGCGUCCUAACCAGAUGCCCGAGCCACCUCAGCUAACUCCUCUCGACGUGGAGGAGCAGUGGGAUGUGAUGCCCCCCCCCAUUGGUUGUGGUUUGGGUGGGGAUGUGAUGGGCCCCCGAUAUUGGUUGUGGCCCUCCAUUUUGUUGAAUUUUAAACAGACAAUGACUUCACGAUGGGAUGACGUGAGCUUCUAGAUCAUUUAGACAAGUGGUGGGCAACUUUGAUGAUGGAGAGGGCCACAAUAUUUCCACACUCAUUCCAGGGGGCCACAUUACAUAAACUGUCAGUCCAUUCGAUGUCACACAAAAGUUGCAAAAAUAGCCGAUCUACAAAGGAAAACUAGGGAAGAAAAACCAGACUACAAAACACAAGGAAUCAACUCCUACAAAAUAAAACAGGAAAUAAACACUGAAAACUGAUCUAAAGAAUAAAACGCAAAGAACUCACAAGACUGGACUACAGGGGAACAGGAACACGAGGGAGAAUGGACUCGGAUAACAAAACCAGGAGAAAACUGAAUGAACAGAACAUAUCAUGACAGGUUUACAGUUUUUGUUGUGAAGAAAGAAGAAACAGUCUCUCCAAGCUCCACUGGUUCACUCCAAGUGCACAUUUUUCAUGCAAUCUGGUGGUUUAUCUUAGUCAAAUAAUCUCUGAUUGCUCAGUGCCUCUUUCACACAUCCGAGGAGGGAGUAUUUGUCGACGAGCAGACAGGAAGCUCUGCAGCCUCCUCGCCAUCAUCAGCAUCACGGUGCAGGUGGUGAAUGAAAGCCGGGGCUCUGCAGGAGGCUUUUUGGGAAUAAUUCAGAGUCAGUGAAUUAAACAAACACUUAAUCAGCUCCAGCAGGAGGUUAGUUCUUCAAAUGUGGUUAAGCCUCAUGUACUGGCAACACUGUCUUGUGCAUGUUUAGACUGUAGGACGAUGUGAUGGAUUUAACAAAUAGAUUCACAGUUUCGGUGCAUUAUUAAAUGUGCAAAAUAAGACCUUGUGCAAAGAUUUUAGUGCAGUUUGAAGAGUUGCAAGAGGUUAUGCAUUGCCCUGAUGGAGGUUAUAUGUAGUCGUAGUUUGCAGCAUCAUGUGUGAUCACCUUUGCCAGAGAAGGGAAGUUAAAGAAAACAGCUCCACCUACAGAGACUAAAGAGAAAAUCUGAAGACAAAGAUGUCUAGGAGCCACCCACUGAGUUUGACUGACGGGUCAUUACUGCAGAGAGCAGCACAGAAACACUGCUGACGUUACCAAGAGUGAUUAAAAUGUCAAGAAAAUAUGUUUUAGUUAAAGAAGAGAGUAAAUCUGUCACAGAGUAAAGCGCUGUUUGCUCUAACUCUUAACAUGAGUCCCUCUUUUUGCUUUUCUGCAAUUCUCCACUCCCUGCUGAUGAUUAGAGCAACAAAAGAUAUCGAACAGCCAAGAGAAUAAGAGAAAUUUUCAAUAAAUGUGAGAGGAAAUACAAUAAUACUUCCUCUGUUGUUUUCAGAGAGAGGAAGACUGCAGACGGAUGGAGACACCACCUCAGAGCGCGGCCUUGUAGCUUCAGGUCAGCGAUCUUAUUUGGCCCCCGUGUGGAGGAAGAAUUGGUUUUGGCUUGGCUGAGGACAAUCAUCCGAACCGAGGGGAUUGGAUGCUGCUGGGACACGGAGAGAGCCAAUCAGAAAGGCCAUCGAUCAGUUCCCCUUAAUCUCACAGCUGGUGAGCACAUCCCCACUCCAAUCUCAAACUCUGCAGCUUACUCAGACUGACUGACGGGGGAUUGGAGGGCGUCCAAAAGACUUCGGCGUCCACAGAAACAGAUCCAGGAUGAAGCAGGAGGAUUGUGCAGACAAAAUUAGAUGAUACUUGACUGUGUUCUCAGCAUCCAUUGCUGCGAUCUUAACCGUGAAAAUAAACAGUAGUUUAAGCUGUUUAGUCGAGUUUAGCCAGAAAAUCUUCUUUUUCCCUUGAAAAUGUGAAAGCAGUGAAGUCAGAGCAGGAUUAUAAUGGACAGUCUCCCAUUAAAAUAAGCAAAAACAGGAUGCAGGUGGAAUCAUCUCCUCUGAAAUGUGAAUUUUACCCCACAAUAAAACCAGAAUUUUCCUUUUUUCCAACAUCGCUCUUCCCAGUGCAGUGUGAAGAGGGUCAUCAUAAAAACCCCAGAAUAAAACCUUACAGUGAAAGAAACACCAGAACACUGACUCUGAAAAUUCAUGACGAACAUGUUCUCGUGUACGUUUUUAAAGUCCAAAUAAAUAAACUUUUUUAGCAUUGUGUAAACAAGUAUUGUGUAUUGUAAGACUCGAUCUAACUUUCGUCAGCUCUAGAAGCUGGUAAAGCGGUGGAGUCAAGGACAUGGAUAUUUCAUUCAGCCUGAUUAUGUUUGAUUCUGCAUAAACAUAAUCACGCCAGAUGACUUGUAUCAAUAAAAGGAUCACGAUGGAAAAAGCUAAAGAAGCCGAAACCUUUUUUUUUUGUACUGGACUAUUCUGCUUUCAAAAAUCAGCAUUUUAACAUGAGACUGAAUGAGGUUUCUCUUUCUUUUGGAGUCUGCCUCCAAUGGACAGUUGCAGAACUGCAGCUGUUUUUUUUUUUUUUUUACCUCUGCAUUGCCUUCGCUUUACAACAGUAACUGGCUAAACCCACAGGAUCUUGAACGACGCCGCUCCGGACAGGACUGGCAGAUGGAUCAGAUCCACAAGCAUACAGCACCCACUGGAUCCAAUCCGCUGCCGCCAUCAGGGGAGAAAUGCUCACGAGAUUACCGUUAUUUCUCAUUAGACUGGACGAGAUCUCACAAGCUCUUGCGUGUUUCCCCGGGAGUCAUAGAAUGAGAUCCACCGAUCGGUGUAUAUUAACAGCCACAUCCCACAACCCUGGCCUCUCCUGUUAUCAAGUUAACAACAGUUAAACGUAUUGACUUUAUUUUAUUUUGAAAAUUAACUGGAUAUUUUACUCUGUAACCGCAUAAAACUUCCUCUGCUGCUCGUGUAGUGCUGCACUGAAUUGAUGCACCGUCCUUCGGCGUCCGGCAAAAAAAGAAGCCUUGCAUAUCUGAUCUGGCCGCCGGAGCCGAGCCAUUCCGGACCCUGUGGGUUUUGCCCGUAAGAGUUGCUGUUUGGGGAGAACAGAGUGAUGGCCUCAGGGUUAUAUGUAU